rnacentral:lncRNA from 1 species
UCUUCAUAGGGUUUUGGGAAGACUGAGGCAAUCGUUGCUGAAGUCAGUGUUGUAAUGGUAAAUCAGGAUUUUUAAUGAAGUGGGUUUGAUUACUCUUGACUGUUUUGUGAAAUCGAGUUACGUCUAUGAUGAAAGAGUUAAAAGGGUGUCUAUAGGAUUGAGUAUGCGGAGUGAAUGAAAUUUAUUGGGUUAAUCUAACAAGACAGUCAGUGGAUACAAGAU